GCCUCAGGGGCGUAGUGGUUAGCGCACGAGCCAAAGUUAGGCGCGAGACGCGGGUUCGAAUCCCGCCUGAACUA
rnacentral:tRNA from 1 species